GACGAACGCUGGCGGCGUGCUUAACACAUGCAAGUCGAACGGAAAGGCCCUGCUUUUGUGGGGUGCUCGAGUGGCGAACGGGUGAGUAACACGUGAGUAACCUGCCCUUUACUUUGGGAUAACUUCAGGUAACUGGGUCUAAUACCGGAUAGGAGCUCCUGCUGCAUGGUGGGGGUUGGAAAGUUUCGGCGGUUGGGGAUGGACUCGCUGCUUAUCAGCUUGUUGGUGGGGUAGUGGCUUACCAAGGCUUUGACGGGUAGCCGGCCUGAGAGGGUGACCGGCAACAAUGGGAAGGAGAUACGGACCAGAAUAGAAGGGGAGGCAGCAGGGGGGAAUAUUGCACAAUGGGCGGAAGCAUGAUGAAGCAACGCAGCGUGCGGGAUGACGGCCUUCGGGUGGUAAACCGAUUUCGAAUGUGAAGAAGAGUGAGUGACGGUAAUGGGUAAAGAAGCACCGGCUAACUACGUG
rnacentral:rRNA from 1 species